AUGGAGUCACCCGCUGUGAGCCAGUUUCACAGGGCGCGAGUUCAUACUGAGACUGGAAACGAACCGAGCGAGACGAGAGAGCGGGCAGCGCGGGGAGGAAGCGGCCUCGGCGCGCGGGCUGCAGUGCCGGCCGCGCAGGCAGCCGCGGCGCAGAUAAGAAGUGAGAAAGAGAGCGCCGCUCAGCACUUCGCAGCCGCCUUCCCGCAGCAUUAUUCGCAGCAACCCCAAGCUGGAAGCAACCCAAGUGUCUAUCAGCUGACAACUGGAUAAACAGAAUGUAGCCCCUUCAAACAACAGUACAUCAUUCAGCCUGAGAAAGACAGGAACUUCUGAGACACACUGCACCGCGGACAAGCCCUGAGGAUGUUACACUCAGUUGAAUCAGCCACACGGAAGGAGGAGUGCUCUUACCCACACGCGGUGCUUAGAGCAGUGAAAUCAUGAAGCCAGCACAGGGAAUGCAGGCUGCCAAGGGCAGGGACAAGGGGAAGGGGACUCUUGAUUGCUUAAUGGGGCCAGGGCCUCAGUUUGGAAAGGUGAAAAAGUCUGGGGGCUGGGAGGUGGAGACUGGUCCAUUGCCAGGACUGUGACAAGUCCAAGGCUGGAGACCCAGGCGGCACAGCUGCUGCAGCUGGAUCUGAGCCUUGGGAGGGAGGCAGCCUUUUCCAGGGGGAGCUCAGGCUUUGCUCAAGGCACCCAGCUGGCUGGAUGAGGCCCCCACGUUCUGGAGGAUAAUCGGCUUUACUCAAAAUCUGUGGACUUCGAUGCUAAUCUCAUCUAAAAAUACCUUCACAGAAGCAUCUAGACUGACAUUUGAGCAAAUCUGGGUACUGUGGCACAGCCAAGGUGACAAGUGAAAUUAACCGCCACAGCACCGAAAGGUCCCAGUAAGCUGGGCAGACGAGACAGGGCCUGGGGCUGCCUCCCGCCCAUCCCUCAGGUAGGACCGUCCACACCAGGGCCAGGGACUGAGACGGAAACCACUGCUGCGCCAGGCCAGACCAAAUCACGCUCCACAGGGACCUCCGGGCCCUCCCCUCUGCCGCUGGCUCCCACUACUGCUGCCAGGCAGUGUCAAGGGCCUCCCAGCUUCCACCUUCUUGGUCACUGGCGAGGUUGGUGGCAUUUUCCCCAGCCCACUGGGUAUCCUCAAGAUUAGAAAAAUGUUGCCAUCCGCUUUCUUCUCUUACUUUUAGAGUUUCUAUGGCUAUUCUUUUAAUUAAUAGACUUUUUAAAAGAGGUUUUAGUUUCACAGAAAAAUGCGCAGAAA
rnacentral:lncRNA from 1 species